AACGAACGCUGGCGGCAUGCCUAACACAUGCAAGUCGAACGAGACCUUCGGGUCUAGUGGCGCGCGGGUGCGUAACGCGUGGGAACCUGCCCUUAGGUUCGGAAUAACUCCCCGAAAGGGGUGCUAAUACCGGAUAAUGUCUUCGGACCAAAGAUUUAUCGCCUUUGGAUGGGCCCGCGUUGGAUUAGCUAGUUGGUAGGGUAAAAGCCUACCAAGGCGACGAUCCAUAGCUGGUCUGAGAGGAUGAUCAGCCACACUGGGACUGAGACACGGCCCAGACUCCUACGGGAAGAAGCAGUGGGGAAUAUUGGACAAGGGGCGAAAGCCUGAUCCAGCAAUGCCGCGUGAGUGAUGAAGGCCUUAGGGUUGUAAAGCUCUUUUACCCGGGAUGAUAAUGACAGUACCGGGAGAAUAAGCUCCGGCUAACUCCGUG
rnacentral:rRNA from 1 species